GAUGAACGCUGGCGGUAUGCUUAACACAUGCAAGUCGAACGGACUCUUCGGAGUUAGUGGCGGACGGGUGAGUAACGCGUGAGAAUCUGGCUUUGGGUUCGGGACAACCACUGGAAACGGUGGCUAAUACCGGAUGUGCCGAGAGGUAAAAGAGAAAUUGCCUGAAGAUGAGCUCGCGUCUGAUUAGCUAGUUGGUGAGGUAAAGGCUCACCAAGGCAGCGAUCAGUAGCUGGUCUGAGAGGAUGACCAGCCACACUGGGACUGAGACACGGCCCAGACUCCUACGGGAGGCAGCAGUGGGGAAUUUUCCGCAAUGGGCGAAAGCCUGACGGAGCAAUACCGCGUGAGGGAAGAAGGCUCUUGGGUUGUAAACCUCUUUUCUUAGGGAGGAACAAAAUGACGGUACCUAAGGAAUCAGCAUCGGCUAACUCCGUG
rnacentral:rRNA from 1 species